AAAUUGAAGAGUUUGAUCAUGGCUCAGAUUGAACGCUGGCGGCAGGCCUAACACAUGCAAGUCGAGCGGUAGCACAGAGAGCUUGCUCUCGGGUGACGAGCGGCGGACGGGUGAGUAAUGUCUGGGAAACUGCCUGAUGGAGGGGGAUAACUACUGGAAACGGUAGCUAAUACCGCAUAACGUCGCAAGACCAAAGUGGGGGACCUUCGGGCCUCAUGCCAUCAGAUGUGCCCAGAUGGGAUUAGCUAGUAGGUGGGGUAAUGGCUCACCUAGGCGACGAUCCCUAGCUGGUCUGAGAGGAUGACCAGCCACACUGGAACUGAGACACGGUCCAGACUCCUACGGGAGGCAGCAGUGGGGAAUAUUGCACAAUGGGCGCAAGCCUGAUGCAGCCAUGCCGCGUGUGUGAAGAAGGCCUUCGGGUUGUAAAGCACUUUCAGCGGGGAGGAAGGCGAUAAGGUUAAUAACCUUGUCGAUUGACGUUACCCGCAGAAGAAGCACCGGCUAACUCCGUGCCAGCAGCCGCGGUAAUACGGAGGGUGCAAGCGUUAAUCGGAAUUACUGGGCGUAAAGCGCACGCAGGCGGUCUGUCAAGUCGGAUGUGAAAUCCCCGGGCUCAACCUGGGAACUGCAUUCGAAACUGGCAGGCUAGAGUCUUGUAGAGGGGGGUAGAAUUCCAGGUGUAGCGGUGAAAUGCGUAGAGAUCUGGAGGAAUACCGGUGGCGAAGGCGGCCCCCUGGACAAAGACUGACGCUCAGGUGCGAAAGCGUGGGGAGCAAACAGGAUUAGAUACCCUCGGUAGUCCACGCCGUAAACGAUGUCGAUUUGGAGGUUGUGCCCUUGAGGCGUGGCUUCCGGAGCUAACGCGUUAAAUCGACCGCCUGGGGAGUACGGCCGCAAGGUUAAAACUCAAAUGAAUUGACGGGGGCCCGCACAAGCGGUGGAGCAUGUGGUUUAAUUCGAUGCAACGCGAAGAACCUUACCUGGUCUUGACAUCCACAGAACUUUCCAGAGAUGGAUUGGUGCCUUCGGGAACUGUGAGACAGGUGCUGCAUGGCUGUCGUCAGCUCGUGUUGUGAAAUGUUGGGUUAAGUCCCGCAACGAGCGCAACCCUUAUCCUUUGUUGCCAGCGGUUAGGCCGGGAACUCAAAGGAGACUGCCAGUGAUAAACUGGAGGAAGGUGGGGAUGACGUCAAGUCAUCAUGGCCCUUACGACCAGGGCUACACACGUGCUACAAUGGCAUAUACAAAGAGAAGCGACCUCGCGAGAGCAAGCGGACCUCAUAAAGUAUGUCGUAGUCCGGAUUGGAGUCUGCAACUCGACUCCAUGAAGUCGGAAUCGCUAGUAAUCGUAGAUCAGAAUGCUACGGUGAAUACGUUCCCGGGCCUUGUACACACCGCCCGUCACACCAUGGGAGUGGGUUGCAAAAGAAGUAGGUAGCUUAACCUUCGGGAGGGCGCUUACCACUUUGUGAUUCAUGACUGGGGUGAAGUCGUAACAAGGUAACCGUAGGGGAACCUGCGGUUGGAUCACCUCCUUACCUUAAAGAA
rnacentral:rRNA from 1 species